UACGAAGGGGGCUAGCGUUGUUCGGAAUCACUGGGCGUAAAGGGCGCGUAGGCGGCUUUAUAAGUCGGGGGUGAAAGCCUGUGGCUCAACCACAGAAUUGCCUUCGAUACUGUAGAGCUAGAGACCGGAAGAGGUAAGUGGAACUGCGAGUGUAGAGGUGAAAUUCGUAGAUACUCGCAAGAACACCAGUGGCGAAGGCGGCUUACUGGUCCGGUUCUGACGCUGAGGCGCGAAAGCGUGGGGAGCAAACAGG
rnacentral:rRNA from 1 species